rnacentral:lncRNA from 1 species
AUGACUUCAAUUUUGGAUGGCACACCUACACACACCCACAGUGACCAGAUCAGAUUCAUUAUGGAUGUCCCUUUUCCAGAGUCCAUCAUCUGUGCUCUUGCUGUUGUGAAAGAUGUGUCCAUCUUGGAGGCUGAGGAGAAAUUCCUUCGAGGACCUGUCAUUGACGCAAGGUACUGUAAGGAUCCUAUAAAGGAAAAAAAAAAUUGAAACAUGACAUCCUGCCAUUAUUUAUAAAUAACCAUUGUUUUCUACCACUAUGCAACUUUUGCUUUUUUAUUUAUUUUUAUCAGUGAGUGGGAUCACUUUGACCGCAGGAUAAAGAAACAAUUAAAGAAGAGUGGCAAACCAUUGGAGAGUCAUCUACAGGAGUCAUGCUGUUAAGAAAUAACCAAGUCAUGGUGUUAAUAAAUUUUUUUUGUGAACAACAAUAUUGUCUUUCUUUUAAAUGACCC